rnacentral:rRNA from 1 species
GGNUCUCUGUGUCNGGUGCUGCAUGGUUGUCGUCAGCUCGUGUUGUGAAAUGUUGGGUUAAGUCCUGCAACGAGCGCAACCCUUAUCCUUGUUUGCCAGCACUUCGGGUGGGAACUCCAGGGAGACUGCCGGUGAUAAACCGGAGGAAGGUGGGGACGACGUCAAGUCAUCAUGGCCCUUACGAGUAGGGCUACACACGUGCUACAAUGGUAUAUACAGAGGGCAGCAAGACCGCGAGGUGGAGCGAAUCCCAGAAAGUAUGUCGUAGUCCGGAUCGGAGUCUGCAACUCGACUCCGUGAAGUCGGAAUCGCUAGUAAUCGUGGAUCAGAAUGCCACGGUGAAUACGUUCCCGGCCCUUGUACACCCCGCCCGUCACACCAUGGGAGUGGGUUGCACCAGAAGUAGAUAGCUUAACCUUCGGGAGGGCGUUUACCACGGUGUGGUUCAUGACUGGGGUGAAGUCGUAACAAGGUGGCCG